rnacentral:rRNA from 1 species
AUUGAACGCUGGCGGCAUGCCUUACACAUGCAAGUCGAACGGUAACGGGCCUUCGGGUGCCGACGAGUGGCGAACGGGUGAGUAAUACAUCGGAACGUGCCCGAUCGUGGGGGGUAACGAGGCGAAAGCUUUGCUAAUACCGCAUACGAUCUACGGAUGAAAGCAGGGGACCGCAAGGCCUUGCGCGGACGGAGCGGCCGAUGGCAGAUUAGGUAGUUGGUGGGAUAAAAGCUUACCAAGCCGACGAUCUGUAGCUGGUCUGAGAGGAUGAUCAGCCACACUGGGACUGAGACACGGCCCAGACUCCUACGGGAGGCAGCAGUGGGGAAUUUUGGACAAAGGGCGCAAGCCUGAUCCAGCCAUGCCGCGUGCAGGAUGAAGGCCUUCGGGUUGUAAACUGCUUUUGUACGGAACGAAAAGCCUUCUUUUAAUACAGGAGGGUCAUGACGGUACCGUAAGAAUAAGCACCGGCUAACUACGUG